UACGAAGGGGGCUAGCGUUGUUCGGAAUUACUGGGCGUAAAGGGCGCGUAGGCUGUGCUGUAAGUCAGGCGUGAAAGACCCGGGCUCAACCUGGGAAUGGCGCAUGAUACUGCGGCGCUGGAAGGCGGGAGAGGAUGGCGGAAUUCCCAGUGUAGAGGUGAAAUUCGUAGAUAUUCGGAAGAACACCAGUGGCGAAGGCGGCUCACUGGCCCGGUACUGACGCUGAGGUGCGAAAGCGUGGGGAGCAAACAGG
rnacentral:rRNA from 1 species